UUUUUGAUUAUAAUUUAAAGUCUAACCUGCCCUAUGAGUUAUUAAAUGGCUGCGGUAUUUUGACCGUGCAAAGGUAGCAUAAUAAUUAGUUUUUUAAUUGGGAACUGGAAUGAAUGGUUGGACGAGAAAAAUACUGUCUCAAUUUAAAUUUAAUUAGAAUUUUAUUUUUAAGUAAAAAAGCUUAAAUAAAUUUAAAAGACGAGAAGACCCUAUAGAGUUUUAUAUAAAAUAUAAUAUUUGAAAGUUAAAGUAUAAUAAUUUUAUUUAUUAUUUUUUUGUAUUUAAUUGGGGUGAUUGAAAAAUUUAAUUAACUUUUUUUUAUUAAAAUCAUAAAUUUAUGAAUAAUUGAUCCAUUAUUAAUGAUUAUAAGAUUAAAUUACCUUAGGGAUAACAGCGUAAUUUUUUUUUAGAGUUCUAAUCGAAAAAAAAGUUUGCGA
rnacentral:rRNA from 1 species